GCCUAACACAUGCAAGUCGAACGCGCUCCAUUCGAGCAAUACCGAUGAAGAGCGAGUGGCGAACGGGUGAGUAACACAUGAGCAACCUGCCCCGAAGACCGGGACAACACCGGGAAACCGGUGCUAAUACCGGAUAUCCCUAUCGGACCGCAUGAUCUGAUAAGGAAAUGGAUUCCGCUUCGGGAGGGGCUCGUGGCCUAUCAGCUAGUUGGUGAGGUAAUAGCUCACCAAGGCAUCGACGGGUAGCUGGUCUGAGAGGACGAUCAGCCACACUGGGACUGAGACACGGCCCAGACUCCUACGGGAGGCAGCAGUGGGGAAUCUUGCGCAAUGGGCGAAAGCCUGACGCAGCAACGCCGCGUGGAGGACGAAGGCUUUCUGAGUUGUAAACUCCUUUCAGCAGGGACGAUUGUGACGGUACCUGCAGAAGAAGCACCGGCCAACUACGUGCCAGCAGCCGCGGUAAU
rnacentral:rRNA from 1 species